CUGGUCUCUGAGACCUGGUCCCUGAGACGCUGCCCGCGGGCCUGUCCUCCCAUGUCGGCAGGGCUUGGGGACGGGCCGGAGCAAAGGAAGUCGGGGAGGGCGGGCGGCCGACGGGGCAGAGUGAUGGGCUGGAGUCAGGAGGCCUGCGUCUUCCGUCACUGGACCCACUGGGUGCAGGGGGCACAGCGGGCCCUGCCAGAGAGGAGUGCGGAAAGCGGGCGUGCGAAGGUUAAGGCAGUACCCGGGAGUGGGGGCAGGGAAAGCACACACGUGAGGUUGGCCGGAGUCCGCAGGCGGGGACAGACACGCAGUCUGCACAGAAUGGGGAAGGCUUGGAGCCUUCAAGAGGAACGGAGAAACCUUGUGAGAUCUGUGGCUGGGGCAGGUCCACAGUGCCUCAGUUUCCCUGGUUGUAAAAUGGAAUAACAAUAGCACUGUCCUCCCGGCGCUGUUAUGAGGACUAGAAUAGGCGUCUGCCGGACAGAGCACAGGGCCGGCCCACCCUAACCGCCAACCAAUUAUGAUUAUUGAUGUUACUGGUGUAGCCACAGAGGCUCUCAAAGGCCGACACUGUGGAUGGCUUCAGGGUGGAGGGGAGCCGUGGGAAGCUCCAGGGUGGGGGUGGCGGGCAUGCUGGAAGGGAGAGGCGGGCUGGGGCCUGAAGGACAAUGCCAGGACCGAUGGACACAAAAGUCGGAUCUGGAGGAGCCCACUCCCAAUCACAGCUGGCUGGAUGGGAAACCGGGUCUUUCGUUAGGAGAGCAGCCCAGCUCCUGAUCUGGAGUGCCCUCUCCGUCUGCGUUCCCGUAGCUGUUCACCAGGGUCAACGGCCUGAAGACAGAAACAAGCCACUCACACAGAGGUGUGAGCAAUGGCCUGGGAGCUGGAGGGUCCUCGGGGGCCCACUCUGCUCAAGCAGUCCCGUGUAUUAGCAGGGAGAGGGCACCCUGCUGCCUUUGUCCCCAGCACUCUGGCAGGUGUUGCCCUAAGAGACUGUGUCUGCCCAAAGGGGCAGCUCUUGCUAACCUGUGCUCCCGGACGGUCCCCUUAUUCCAUCUGACACAAAGGGUAACCCUCACCAGGCACCUGCUGCCCUUUGCCAAAAACACUCAGGCGCUCAGGCCAUAGUCCAUGCUGGAGGACACAUGGUCUGCAUCUCUUGCCCUUCUCGAGCUGGGCCUCCCCGACACAUCCUUACACGCUGAGGGCAGUGAUCAAGGUCAUCAUGAGGAGUAAGGAGCAGCAUUAAGGGCACGUUUAAACGGUAUCUUUUUUUAAAAGUGGCUGGAGAGGUUCUCGGGCUUGGCUUUCUCACUUUCUUAGAAUUGGGACUGUAGGGUUUGAACUCAGCUCUAGGGAGAAAGCCCUGGGCACCUGCCCCCCAUCCCAACCACCUCUGCCCCCAGAUGGCUGCUAAUGGUGUCUCUACGCUGGGGGCACCUCCCCAUCCAGUUGGCGGCCAGGGCCUCCCCUAACUCAAGCUCCCGCUCCCCGUGCACCAGGGGACGCCCACCUCCACCCAGCGGACCGCCUCCAGGCUGGCUCUCAGCCCUCUCCUCCUGUCACCUUCCCUUGGGCGGGGCCCCAGCAUGAAGCUGGUCCUGUGAAAGUUUACACUCAGGAGGCCUUCCCAGGGAAGCCAGUGGUGCGGAGUGCUGAGGUGGGAAGGGAAGGCCAGCACGGGGUCGGCCCCUGCUCAGCUCAGACCCCCCAGGGUACUUAGACCCCAACCCUUGCAAUCAGAGGUUAGGCCACGGCUUGCCAACCAUGUGCCAUGCCACUGUGGUGCUGUGGAAUGCUUUAAGUUUUGAGACCAGACAUGGAAAGCUGUCAGACACCACACUCGAGACAGUUCACAGCUCAACGUUCGACUGUCCUACAGUCCCUUGGAUGACGUCACUUCUCUUCCUUCGCCCUGCUGGGCGGCAGCUGGGGGGGGGGGAGGUGGUGGGAGGGAAGCAAGUUCUGUGUGAAAAUCCACAGGAAACAAGGAAACGAGGCCGGUGGUGUUGUCCAGUCCCAAUCUAAGAAAUGAAAAGUUGUGCAGUGCCCAACAGGCACACAUGUCCCAUUAGUAAGAACCUAUGGUUAUUUAUGAAUGAGGCAAGAAUAGUACUUUUUGCUUUAAUUUGCAUAUAUUGUAUUUCCAGCCAGCUGCUCAGCUGCUAAGCUGUUAGGAUAUAAAUAUUUGUUAAGUUG